rnacentral:rRNA from 1 species
AUUGAACGCUGGCGGCAGGCCUAACACAUGCAAGUCGAGCGGAUGAAGGGAGCUUGCUCCUGGAUUCAGCGGCGGACGGGUGAGUAAUGCCUAGGAAUCUGCCUGGUAGUGGGGGAUAACGUCCGGAAACGGGCGCUAAUACCGCAUACGUCCUGAGGGAGAAAGUGGGGGAUCUUCGGACCUCACGCUAUCAGAUGAGCCUAGGUCGGAUUAGCUAGUUGGUGGGGUAAAGGCCUACCAAGGCGACGAUCCGUAACUGGUCUGAGAGGAUGAUCAGUCACACUGGAACUGAGACACGGUCCAGACUCCUAAGGGAGGCAGCAGUGGGGAAUAUUGGACAAUGGGCGAAAGCCUGAUCCAGCCAUGCCGCGUGUGUGAAGAAGGUCUUCGGAUUGUAAAGCACUUUAAGUUGUGAGGAAGGGCAGUAAGUUAAUACCUUGCUGUUUUGACGGUACCAACAGAAUAAGCACCGGCUAACUUCGUG